GCCAGACUCCUACGGGAGGCAGCAGUGAGGAAUAUUGGUCAAUGGCCGAGAGGCUGAACCAGCCAAGUCGCGUGAGGGAUGACGGCCCUACGGGUUGUAAACCUCUUUUGCCGGGGAGCAAAGAGCGGGACGCGUCCCGCCUCGAGAGUACCCGGAGAAAAAGCAUCGGCUAACUCCGUGCCAGCAGCCGCGGUAAUACGGAGGAUGCGAGCGUUAUCCGGAUUUAUUGGGUUUAAAGGGUGCGCAGGCGGUCUGUUAAGUCAGCGGUCAAAGCCCGGGGCUCAACCCCGGUCCGCCGUUGAAACUGGCAGUCUCGAGUUGGAGAGAAGUAUGCGGAAUGCGCGGUGUAGCGGUGAAAUGCAUAGAUAUCGCGCAGAACUCCGAUUGCGAAGGCAGCAUACCGGCGCCCAACUGACGCUGAAACACGAAAGCGUGGGUAUCGAACAGGAUUAGAUACCCCAGUAA
rnacentral:rRNA from 1 species